GCCAGCAGCCAUAUCACCCUGCAAUUCACAGCUGGCAACCCUGUGAUGUUCAGCAGGUGUGAGCCUGGUCAGUACCUGGAUGGGAGACCUCCUGGGAAAAACUAAGGUUGCUGCUGGAA
rnacentral:rRNA from 1 species